AGAUGAUGUCCCAGGAGAGAAUAUCGACACAGCUGUGUAACUGUAGCUUCUAUUUCUUCUGAUGCUGGAAACUCUCUUAGAAUCAUAGGAUAAAAACUGGAAAACACUCUGAUUGUAUUUAAUUCAACCUGUUUAUUUAACGGACAGGGGAACUGAGGCCCAGAAACAUAAAUUAAAUGGCCAGUGCUCACACAGAAAUUAGGAAGAGGAUUGAAGGAGGUGAUUUUGGAGGGCUCCUCUAACCCAUGAUUCAGUGAUUCUUGUGGUUCUUGCUUUCUCUCCAAGGGUUCUUUCCCCCAAACUGCAACCAUGGUGUGAACCCCAUUGAACAUCCGUUGCUGAGUGCUUCCAGAAUAUAGAGCUCUCCUCAGCUCAUGAUCACAACCAAGACCCACCUAAUAUGAUGCCAGUUUUUCACCUACUGUGUAUUCCCAAUACUAUUUUAAAACACUGGUUCUCAGUCUUGGUGGCACAAGAGAAUUACCUUAGGAACUGUAAACAAAAAUUCUGAUGCUCAGAUCUUACUUCAUAUCAAUUGAAUCAGAAUCUUUCGGGAUGGGGCCUAAGAAUUGGUAGUUAAAAGAAAAAUUCCCAGUUGAUUCCAAUAUACAAUCAGGAUGGUUAAAUAGUUUUAAAACUGCUAAGUUUGGCUUUAGUCAUGACUAAUGGUAAUAUUAAUUCUACCUGCUCCCCUUUCCCAUCUCCAGUUAACACAGCUACAUUCUCUGAUUUACAGGCUGAUUUUUCAUGUGUUUAUUCAUCUAGGAUAAGACAUGAUUAAGUGAUACAGAAUGGAUUUAUGUUAUAUGCCCAUUAUGCAGAUGGUGAAAAGUGAGCCCAAAAUUUUUUUAAAAAAUGAGUAUAACAGUAGCUUAGUAUGAACAAAUCCAAGGAUUUUGAGAAUUCCUAAAUAUAUGGGGACACUGUUUACUUGCUUUAAGGAUUGACUCUAAACAUAGGCAAAGAAGAUAAGCACUUGAGGGCCUGAUUUAAAGAGUCCCGAGAAUAGCUCUGAUGAAAAUCAUCUCUUUUUCAGACUCAUGUUAGAUUGAGAAAUCCCUACCAGUAGCCUUUGGAAUAUUAACCACAAACGUGAUAUUUCUGGGAGACUCCAUGAAGCCUCCAUUAAUCGUUAGUAUCAUCUUUAUAUUAGUUAUCUGCUUCCCAGCAGAAAGCUGUGUAAUGAAGGAACGAGAGCCUGGCCAGAUAAGCAGUGCUGUGGGUGGAGGAACAGAUCAAGAGUAUGGAUGUUGGCCAGGCACAGUGGCUCACGCCUGUAAUCCCAGCACUUUGGGAGGCCGAGGCGGGCAGAUCACGAGGUCAGGAGUUCGACGCCAGUCUGGCCAACAUAGUGAAACCCUGUCUCUACCAAAAAUACAAAAAAUUAGCCGGGUAUGGUGGUGUGCGCCUGUAAUCCCAGCUACUCUGGAGGCUGAGGCAGGAGAAUCACGUGAACCUGAGAGGCGGAGGUUGCAGUGAGCCGAGAUCUCGCCAUUGCACUCCAACCUGGGUGACAGUGGGAGACUCUAUCUCAAAAAAAAAAAAAAAGUAUGGAUGUUACCUAGGAGUAUUGCAGUGUGGGCCCCUGGCUGCCUUAGGUGGGGUGAGGGUGCAAAAAUCAGGCCUUAAAAAGGGAAACGGGGACUCAUCAUCAGGGUGGACGGAGAAAUGGUUUGCCCCCACAUACACCUGAUACCUGCUCAAAGUUGGCACUUGUCCUCCUUCCUUCUCUCUGUUCUCCCUUAUUGAUGUCCUUUCAGUCCUGCUGAGGCCAGCCCAUGCUAAACAUCACCCUGGUUCUUGGGUCUUUGUUCAGCAUCAGUAGCAAUAUCAUGACAAUAACUACCAAUAAUAAGCAACAAAUACCAUUUUAAUACUUUCUGGUGAGCACUGUAUCCAUGUCAUUUCCUUUAAAUCUCAAAUCAACUCUUUUCUGAUUGCAAUCAAACCUGUUUUACUGAGGUCUCAAUGUGGCUUAGCUAGGAACUGAAGCGUAUAUACAGUCUACACAAGGCUACAUUAUCCUUGCCCUCACAUAGGGAGGAAGUACAACAUAGAAAAUGACCCCUUGGCAGAGAUGGACUAAAGCAAAAUCUGCAAAGACUUUUUCUUUAAAAGGCUGGCAGGGAUUCUGGAAAGAACCACUAACUGCCUUGUCUGACUCAGCAUCAAGAUGGAAAAAUAUACAGAGGCUGUUGCCUUCCCCACAGCCUAAGUCAAAUCCACCUGCUUGCUCUGAGGCUGUCUGGGAGGCCACACAUCACCAUGCCCUUUCCUGGAGUCAAUUCUUGGUCCCAUGUCAUUAGCCCCACCCUCGAAAGAACUCUGGGAAUGGGGUUGCCUUGGAGUCCCCGGUUCCGUGUGGCUAAAGAGUGAGCCUCUCAUAUCUCCAUGCUGAAUUUCCUCACUCAUUCACAACCCUCCUUUCCAUUUCAAGAAAUCUUUCUGUUCCCACAAGCCUGGGAGGGCCUUUGAGUGGGGCAUAUUGGGACCCGUGUUCACACCAGCACUUAGUUUGGAGGAAGCACCUGGAGGAGAUGCAGAGUCCAGAUGUGCGCCCUCUGCCGGAAGCCUACUGCACCAGGACGUAGGCCUGGAGUGGCCCUUAACGCAUUUGGAAAUCAGUCUUCACUAAAAAAACUUCCUCCAAAAUGUUCUUUAACAGCCCUUUAAAAGCCAUUGUUUCAAAACAGUCCAAGGUGGUGAACAAUUAAUAUUUUCGAUUUACAUGAAGACUCUGGAGUAGGAAUUACCUGAGUUGGAAACUCAGUUCUACUCUAUUGGUAUCAGGUUGCAUUCUGUAUCAUCAUUAAAAU
rnacentral:lncRNA from 1 species